UUUCCGUAGGUGAACCUGCGGAAGGAUCAUUACAGUAGUCGCCCGGGUUGCCGCAAGGCCUCCCGGGUAACCUACCACCCUUUGUCUAUUACACUUUGUUGCUUUGGCAGGCCUGCCCUCGGGCUGCUGGCUCCCGCCGGCGAGCGCUUGCCAGAGGAUCUAAACUCUGUUUGUCUAUACUGUCUGAGUACUAUAUAAUAGUUAAAACUUUCAACAACGGAUCUCUUGGUUCUG
rnacentral:misc_RNA from 1 species